GACCAGACUCCUACGGGAGGCAGCAGUCGAGAAUCAUUCACAAUGGGGGAAACCCUGAUGGUGCGACGCCGCGUGGGGGAAUGAAGGUCUUCGGAUUGUAAACCCCUGUCAUGUGGGAGCAAAUUAAAAAGAUAGUACCACAAGAGGAAGAGACGGCUAACUCUGUGCCAGCAGCCGCGGUAAUACAGAGGUCUCAAGCGUUGUUCGGAAUCACUGGGCGUAAAGCGUGCGUAGGCUGUUUCGUAAGUCGUGUGUGAAAGGCGCGGGCGCAACCCGCGGACGGCACAUGAUACUGCGAGACUAGAGUAAUGGAGGGGGAACCGGAAUUCUCGGUGUAGCAGUGAAAUGCGUAGAUAUCGCGCAGAACUCCGAUUGCGAAGGCAGCAUGCCGGCUCCACACUGACGCUGAGACACGAAAGCGUGGGUAUCGAACAGGAUUAGAUACCCCUGUAAAA
rnacentral:rRNA from 1 species